CGCAACGUGGAGAAGCGGUCAUCUCGCUGGGCUCAUAACCCGGAGAUCGUUGGUUCGAAUCCAACCGUUGCUA
rnacentral:tRNA from 1 species